GAGAAUUGGUUACUAAGUGAAACGGGAAGAGAAAGAAAUGCAAGGAUGUUCUCCAGUUGCAAUCCAACAUAGCUAGCUAAUUUAUAUGAAAUUUCAUUUUGGAGAAGGAACGUAGACCGCAGCAGUUUCUAAAUAGCUAACUGAAUAGGUGAGUUUUUCAAUCUGGAUCAAUGGCUCUACCAACCCUCUCUGCCCACAUUGGCCGAGUCGAGUUCGUUCCUUGGAAAGCCAGAUGGUGCGGCAGGGGGAACAGGAGGCACGUUGGCGGCAACACUGGGAGCUGCACUCAAUGCACUAAAGGCAACAACAGAACAUUGAGGCGGACUGCAGACUCCUGCCAGACCUGUUGUAGUAGGAGCAAGGGGGAGGGCAGUGGCAGAGGGCGGUGGCGGACGCCGCCUGGAAGAAGCAUAUCAUCGCGGAAUAGCUGCAGUUGGAGAGGGGGUGGGAGGCUGUUUGCUGUCCUGUACAGGGAGAAGUCCCAGCGUGUUUGGGAGAAGUGGGAGGCAGAGUAGGAGAGGAGAGCCAGGGAGAGGCUCAUUCAGGAGGCUCUUGCAGAUGGAGCUCAAGAUGCAGGAGAACCGUCAGGCUCAGGAUGAGUCUCUGAGGAGGCGGGGGGAGGGCUGAUCCAGGAGCUGGAGAGGCAGACCAGACGCCGAGAGGGUGGAGGAAGAGGGCCAAAGGACGGCGAACAGGAACAGCAUGUGUUGACUGGGGUGAAGGCGAGGGAUGCCCAAAGUCUGCAGGAGGAUGAGCAGAGGCUGGAGACUCAUAGGAUGGCCCAGCAGAGCUACCAGGACAAGAUUUGUAGCAGACCUCGAUCAGCCUGGACGUGAGGCCAAAAGACACUCCACAAUCAUGUUUUUAUACAAAUAAUUAUUCUUAAUGGGUUUAAAAUGUGUCAAGUAUUCCUACACCAUGCUUAUAUCAGCUGCUGCAUGUAAAGUGUUACGUAUUUAGCAAACUGGUUUAAGGGUGUU